rnacentral:piRNA from 1 species
UUGACUAUUCACGCAAUUUGU